rnacentral:lncRNA from 1 species
CAUAGAGCUACCAUGAGUAAAACUCAGUUUUUCUCUGUAGUGCUUAAAUAGUAGGGGGCCAACAAGAAGAACCAAUAUGUAUAAACCGGGGACACAGGAAACCAUACAGAAGAUACAAGUUUUGUCUUUCCAGGACUGCAAUGAAUGAUUAGGCAAUGCCAGACACCAGCAAGUAGCCUGAAAAAUACCAAGACCUGCUUCAAAUAUUCUACUUUAUGCAAGAGAUACAACUAUUUGAAGAAAACUUGCAGAAGAAAUAUUUCAUUCUACCUUAAACUAAGCAAGGCAUUGUCAUGGCGCUGGAAAUCCAACGGUGAGGAAGAUGGACUAAGACUCUUCACUCCUGGGGCCCACAUUCUGGAGAGGAAGACAGGCCAUAAACAUAUAACCAAAGACAUGCUAAGACCUCAGGUGACACCGUGUUGCUCCAUGGCCCUCACAGUGAGGCAUCCAAGGACAAAGGAGAUGACAGAUCAGUUCCUGAAGCCCAUUUCAGACAGAAGGGUCUGACAGCAAAACACUUUGAACUUAUGAGAAAACUGAAACCUGGAGAGCAGCAGCAACUUGUGAAUGAGCACACAACUUGUAAGUGAUAGAAGCUGGAUGUGAGCUGAAUCUUCUGAGCCCAAACCCAAAGUGUCUUCUGUUUCUUUCCUGUUCUACUCUCCCCCAACCCUCUCUGAGUGGGCAUAGCUCUCAGGUGAAAAUUAGAGCAAGAAAAAAAAAAAUCUUCAAUUGCCUGCAUUAUUCUCACCUGGGCCUACAAUCACCAGGCACCCAGAGCAUGAGUCUCCACUUUUUUCCAGGCCUAAGCUUCCUCCAGGCAGCUAUGCCAGUCAAAUGAGGCAUAUGGACACGCAGCCACCCAAUUCACUAACUACAAUGACUCAAGGCGCAGCGGGUUAGUGAAAGAAGCAACAGGUCUGCCAUCCUUGAGUUUUCAAACACACACUGCUGGAUUUAUAUAUUUGUCCCACACAAUCCCUCCUUCCCUUGUUCCUUCGUUUGCACAUCACAACUCCUAUGGCCAUCCGUGUCCACCCUGGACAGCUGCCCUAGGCCAGAGUCCCAAUCCACCUCUUUGCAUUGUCAUAGGACCUUAAUAUGGGAAGUAGUUUCUUUUCCUACUUUUAAUCCUAAGUAGUUUUUUGUUCCUGUCUACAAAUUCUAUCAUGAAUUUGUGGUAAAAGCUACCCAAGGAACUAGGUGGAUAACAAUUGGUAUUAAGAUGACUGCUUUUCAUUUUCUAGUAGUUGGGCCUGCAUAUUGGGUAUAAAUCAAUUUUCUCCCAAUUAAAUCUACUUACUUCUCAAACGCUAUUUUCACUUGAACUGUUAAAUUUUACUUCUCAUUUUGCUCCCAACACUUUACAACCCAGGCUAAAGUGACUAUAAAAUGUCUACACAGGAUGGGGACAACCGAUUAUCAUCAUUGUCCUGUGUGACUUUCAUGUCUUUAGAUUACAUGGUAAUAAAAAUAACAGCUGAUUGUAUUUUUAGUACUUACAGAGUAGCAGGCACUGUAAGUACUACACAGAAUUAUCUCCAUCUUCACAAUGACUCUGUGAAGUAGGUUUUAUUAUCACCUCCAUAUUUUCUGAGGCGCAGAGAGGUUAAUUAACCUGCCCAAGACCACACAAUAGUUAGUAGGUGAUGGAACCCAGACAGCAACCCAAGUCUGACUCCAAAGCUCAUGUUCUUCACCAGUGUCUGAAAUGCCACAUAGAAACAGUAUCAAUGUACCCCCAAAUAAUGUGUUCAGUGGAACAAGAGUUUUAAACCAGAAGUACUGAAUAAUAGUGUAUGUGUUUAUGUCGACAAGAGCAGUUUAAAAGCCCUAAUUACUAACUCAAAUCAACAUAUAAGCCUUUUCCAUCUGAAUAUCAAAGUCCUGAUGUGGCAACUGAGUGUCCUCUGUGAUCACCAUCUCAAGGAAUGUGGCCAAGGAGAAUAGGUUUCCCUUGACCCUCUGGGGCAGUGACCAGGUCGCCCGCUGGUCAGACAGGCACACUGGUAAGGCUGGCCAGUCCAUUUUCUGGUUUGCCCACUUUGGCUGCUGUGAGGGAGAAUGAACAGAAGGCAAGGGGGUUUGUAUGUACUCAUGAAAUGUGUUUACAGCCAGUCCCCAGUUUUCACCACUUCUCCUUUGACCAAUCUAUUCACCCAGCCAUGCCUGGGAGCCACCUAUAUUUAACUUUUCACCACCCUGACUGAAGAAUUUGUCAGUUUCUACCAGGCAGUUAAUAUUAUCAGUGACUGGUUUCCCAAUCAAUGCAUGAGUGCCAUCUAGAGUUAAUGGAGGUAACUGCAGCCACAGUGGACAAAUCAUUCCUUCCUACAUCUUCCUAAAAGUCCCUGCAGAGAAAGCAGGAAGGACUGCAUUAAGAUCAUUACAGGACUCAGGGAUGGAUACCCCAUUCUCCAUGAUGUGCUUGCUUCACGUUGCAUGUCUGUAUCAAAACAUCUCAUGUACCCCAUAAUAUACCUACUAUGUAUCCACAAAAAUCAAUAAUUUAAAUUUAAAUUUAAAAGAAUCAUUACAUGACUCCAUACUAGGCAUUACUUACAGCAAACCACGCAAAUACGGUUUCUGUUUCUGAAGACUUUGUUAUGUAAGGCUGGAAAAAGAAGUUAAUACAUCUAAUAUCUAUUACCUCAAGAUCAAAUUAUGAAAUGCCCCCAAAUGUUAAGGGAGUUAGACUUGAGAUAAGGACCGGUUGUUUCCUAAGCAGUCUCUGCCACCAAAAUAUUUGAUUUUGCCUUGGGCAAAUGACAUUUCUCUGGGCGUCAGUCUUCUCAACAUUGUCUUCUUAAUAUUCUCAAUGAGGAUGUGGACAAUAUGAUACAAGUCAUUCUUACAAGGCCCAUUUCUAGUAUAUAAUACAAGACUUCCACAUAACAACUUUUAAUGGCUGCUAUUGUUUCAAGCAGGCAGACAGAACAAGAAAUAGAGUAAAUCUUCUUGUGACCCUAACAGAACCCUGACAAUGUUUGUUUUGGCAUUGUCCCGUAAAACCAGAUCUGUGCCUGGCUCAUGGGAUAUAACCAGAAGUCAAGUAAGCAGAGCUGCCGAGAAAGCUACUGUUUACCAGAGGAAAAGCCACAGAUUCAAUUGACAAGUAACCUGUACCUUUAGUCCUUCUUUUUGCCUGGAACAUGGACUCAGGAGGUGGAAGAGCCAGGAUGUGUUCAUGAGAACAUGCAGUGACAUGCCAAGGAGAGCAGAACAAGACUCUAGAAGGCUCCCAAGCCUGUGAUGAAUUAACACAAUUGGAAACACUGGUUAUUUUACCAAGGCCUUGACUGGAAUGUCAUAUUUUCAUCUAUGACCAGACAGCUUUACAGAACGGAGGCUGACAUUAUGAAGCCAAUAGAAGCCCUGGGAAAAACUGGCCUAGUACCUUACAUACACAUUUCUUAUGGCUGCCCCGUGUCACUAGCUCAUCUGUUAACAUGUGAAAUGUCCAGGAAACUCUGAGCUCAGAAACGAAUAUCCCAAAAUGUGGCACUUUGAUGUGCUAAAGAAGCAACCUCAUGGUCUUUCUGAUCUCCCUGCUCCUGCUUCUCAACCCUCCAUCUCUCCCAAAGGAAAGGAUGAAGCUGUUCUUUGAAGCUCUCUUAUUUGCCCAAAGUCAAGACCCACCAAAGAAAAUAACUACCUCUGCCCCUUCCCUUAGUUUUCAUUAACUUAACUCAUAUUGAGGAAGAAAGAUUCAAGUCUGUCAAUACACCUGGACAGACUUUUGUCACAAACCACUGUCUUCUAUUCUGGUCCUAUUCAGUAUUUCAAAGAGAAUCAUUUACCACCCAUUGUCUGCUCUGUGGGCCCAACAGACUUUGUCCCAGGCCACUGUGUAUUUUCCAAGUCCAUUAAUUUCCCCCUAACAAUCGUUUACUAUCCUCAAAUUGCCACAUAUUCCCAUCUCUUUCCUCUAUGGAGAAGGGUAUAUAAACAUCUGUAUCCCAUUGAGCUACUGGGCUGUCAGAUUCUCCUCCGAUUUUCCUGUGUCACGCAUUUUACAAUAAAUGUCGUAUGCCUUUUCUCCUUUUAACCUGCCUUUUGUCAGUGAACCUUCAGAGGAGGAAGUGGGAAGCUUGGCCCCUACAGCAGCAUGACUGGUAAUGGUAAAAGACUGGAAACAACCAACAUGUACAUCACAGUUAGAUAAAUGAUGGUUGUUCCUAGUGUGCGAUACCAUACAAAUGUAAAAUGAAUGAGCAUGUUCUCUAGAUAUUGAAACAGAAAGCUCUCUAACACAUGCUAAGGAAGACAAGCAAGGGAAGAGCAGUGUCUGUAAAACGCUCCUGUAUGUGUCAAAAAGAGGGGGAAGAUAAUAUGAAUUGGCUUGUAGAUGUAGAAAAAUAUCUGCAUUAAAAAAGAAAUUAUCAACCACUGGUUAUUUCCUGUUGGGGCCCUGGGGAACUGAGUAGUUUUGAUGUUUGAGUCAUAUAAAUGUAGUAUCUAUUAAAAAUAUGAAACAAAGAAUUCAAGUGUUU